CUGUUCCAGUAAAGGAGAGAAGCUUAAAAAGUCCCUUGACAAAAAUAAUAGAGGCCCUUUGGCUUAAUAUCACACAUGUUAUUAAGGCAAAGCCUUAUUUCAUCCCUGAGUGUCUCUCUUCU